UACGUAGGGUGCAAGCGUUAAUCGGAAUUACUGGGCGUAAAGCGUGCGCAGGCGGUUAUAUAAGACAGUUGUGAAAUCCCCGGGCUCAACCUGGGAACUGCAUCUGUGACUGUAUAGCUAGAGUACGGUAGAGGGGGAUGGAAUUCCGCGUGUAGCAGUGAAAUGCGUAGAUAUGCGGAGGAACACCGAUGGCGAAGGCAAUCCCCUGGACCUGUACUGACGCUCAUGC
rnacentral:rRNA from 1 species